rnacentral:rRNA from 1 species
AAAGCGUGCGCAGGCGGUUUUGUAAGACUGUCGUGAAAUCCCCGGGCUCAACCUGGGAAUGGCGAUGGUGACUGCAAGGCUAGAGUUUGGCAGAGGGGGGUAGAAUUCCACGUGUAGCAGUGAAAUGCGUAGAUAUGUGGAGGAACACCGAUGGCGAAGGCAGCCCCCUGGGUCAAAACUGACGCUCAUGCACGAAAGCGUGGGGAGCAAACAGGAUUAGAUACCCAUGU